AGUGAACGCUGGCGGUAGGCCUAACACAUGCAAGUCGAACGGCAGCACAGUAAGAGCUUGCUCUUACGGGUGGCGAGUGGCGGACGGGUGAGGAAUACAUCGGAAUCUACUUUUUCGUGGGGGAUAACGUAGGGAAACUUACGCUAAUACCGCAUACGACCUACGGGUGAAAGCAGGGGAUCUUCGGACCUUGCGCGAUUGAAUGAGCCGAUGUCGGAUUAGCUAGUUGGCGGGGUAAAGGCCCACCAAGGCGACGAUCCGUAGCUGGUCUGAGAGGAUGAUCAGCCACACUGGAACUGAGACACGGUCCAGACUCCUACGGGAGGCAGCAGUGGGGAAUAUUGGACAAUGGGCGCAAGCCUGAUCCAGCCAUACCGCGUGGGUGGAGAAGGCCUUCGGGUUGUAAAGCCCUUUUGUUGGGAAAGAAAAGCAGCAGGUUAAUACCCCGCUGUUCUGACGGUACCCAAAGAAUAAGCGCCGGCUAACUUCGUG
rnacentral:rRNA from 1 species